UGUUAAAGCAGCUCUGUCUAAAUGUCCAGAGUAGGGCUGAGAUGCAGGCUUGCCUUUGGAAUGGCUUUCAGACUCCUGGAUGAAGACCCCUUCUCUGCUCCUUCUCUGAGCAGAGAAUGGGCAGACUGGAGGGUUAAUCCCCACAUUCUCCAGACUCACUAUGUUUGACCUCACCUCAUCCAUGCUUUUCUUUGCCUGAUAGAACUUGCCCUGUUUCACUCGAACACUGGAUAGCUCUGUCUCAAGGGCCAACCUGAGUGUUUCUGUGGAAAGGAUGUUUUCCACAGGGAGAAGCAGUAGGCUGAAGUGGCUCUUUAGGGAGAUGCAUACCUCCACAGGCAGAGCACUCUAGAUUGUUUUAGCACAUUCCACUUAAGAAUUGCAGUGUGACAGCAGACCCAAUUGGGUCUGGAACUAGCUCUCAGAUUUGCUGCAUGUUGCUAACCCUGAGUUUUGGAGAGAAGCUCUGAUGAGACUAAGAGGGAUGCUGAUAACCUGGAGGAGGGACAUUGAUGACGGACACCUCUGCCUCCUUCCACUUUAUUUGGCUGGCUGCCUCCUGACGUCCUGGCUUAGGUUUUUCCUUUUUCUCCUGGAGAAGACAAGUGGAGUCUGGCUCCUGCUUUUACCUCCUUACAGAGGAUCCUGCAGGCUUAGGAGCCCCAUUUCUGGGAGCUUUCAAUUUUGACAGCUGUAAAUCCUGCCUUCCAUGUGUUUCAUUGCCAGCCUCAUCCAUUGAAUAACAAGCUCCUUGCAGGCAGAAGGGGUCUUCAUCCAGGGGUCUGAAAGCCAUUCCAAAGGCAGGCCUGCAUCUCAGCCCUGCUCUGGACAUUUACACAGAGCUGCUUUAACAACUCACUGGAGUGUGCCGACCACUACUUUUCACUUCCUCUGCAAGCAAGAGGUCCUAAAACAGCUGCUACACUGAGGAAGAUGAGAGGGUACCUCUCUCCCUGGCAAUGGCAAACUGGAAGGCAGGAUUUACUGUUGAAUUUGUUGAGAGCUCAAAGCUCCUUGGAUUCAUUCUGCAUCUGAGAAAAUCCUCUUCAGUCAGGUGAUUGCAUCCAUUUCGUCUUCCCAGCCCUCUUCUAGAUGGGAGGUGGAGGUGUGUGUACCAAUCUCUUAAUUCAGAAAUGAGACAAAAGGAGGAAAAAGGAGAAGUUCAGGAGGUGUGUGAUCCAAGUCUGGCUACUGCUAUGGACAUUCCAGGAGGGAGACUCCAUCAGAGAAGUGGAGCUGGAGUUGGGUGUUAGAAGGUUCAUUGGACCUCUGAAUUCUUUUCACGGAUCUUUUGGUGUUAGGUGAUCAUGUCUGAAGCAGUGACUUCUGGGGAUUAUUUAUCUUUCACUUUGGAUGUCUGAUCAGAAUAAAGCACUGUCUUAAAGCCAAGAAGUGAUAAUGAUGGAAAAUGGGCCGUGGCAUGAUGGAGGCAGCAACCCUUCCACCUGUUUGUAAAACACUGAAAAAAUUGUGAUCUCAGAUAAGGAAGUGUCCUCCAGUGAGAAAGGAAUUAUUUCCCACCGACCACAUGAUAAAUGUACAGCUGGGAAAACUCCUGUCAGUGGAUGCGGUGUCCUUUCCAGAUUCAAUAUUAUGCAAACUGCAUAUCGGCAAAUGGAGUAAACAAAUAUGUCCAUGAAGUUUCUGGAUGCACAGAGAGAGGGCCUUUACCAAUACACAGGCACAGACCUGCCGAUCUGCAUGGGAAUGACUGAGCGCCCUUGGCCAGCCCGUGGCCAUCUCCACUGCCAUCUCUCUCCUCUGCAACGUGUCUGAGCACUUGAGAUAAUGGGCCAUUCUGCUGCCCAGCAGCAGAGGACAAGAGGAGGCACACAGAUCUAGGGGUGACUGUAGGUUAAAUUGGAGCUGUCAGUGGCUGGGUCCGGGGGGGUCCUUUCAGGGAAUGAGAGUGAAGUUGCCCCAGCCAGUCCUGCACCUGCUCUAGGCCUGGCCCUCUCCCCUUCAGCCCCACCCACAACUAUCAGGCUCCUCAAUCACAGGCAAGACUGUGGGCAUGUGUGCUUUUCAGCUCUGUCUUCCCUGCCUGUCAGGUAUGGACAGGAGGCAUUACCCAUACUGAGUCUUCCUGGUAGAGAGAGUUUGGCCCAGUCCCCUUCUCAUCACAGACUUCAAUUUCCAGGCAUAGGGAGAGUGAUGGACCAAGGCUGGCUUUAGUCCUGCAAUUCUGCAAAGUGUAGGACACUUCUGCACUGUGCUGAUCCUAUUGCAAUAACCCUGGGAGAAUAAGUACUUUAAAAAUUUUCACUUCUAAGCAGAUGAGACAACAGAUUUAAAAGGAUAAGAGUGGAUUUUUUUGAAAGGUGGGCAGCAAAUGAUUGGCAAAGCUAGCGUUUAGACCUGGGGCUGUCUUUUAACAAAAAUCUCCUACUUACUGUUUUUCAAAAUGGUACCAUGCUUCCCCAAACACCCCUGCAUUCAGAAAACCAACCAACCAACCAAUCAACCAAAAAGGGACAAGGACAUCUAAAAGGUCCAUCUUCAAAGCCUGAAAUGAAAUAUUUAUCUAUCUGUCCUCCACAUUCCACCUCUUCUACCCUGGCUGGCUUGACAGAUUUUUCUUGCAGCUUCUGUCCCCUUUGUUUGUUGACAGGGAAUCUGCCUGCUUUCUUACAUGCUUGUUUCUUUGGACAGAUAGAAAUCAGCAUAUCCUCUGCUGGUUUAUGGUGGGGUAACAGGGCCUUCUCACCAUCACCUACCUUGUGGUAUCUGGCUUUGCAGAAGCUGUUCACCCAAGUAGACUGGCUUCAGUCACUAUCAAACAUAUUUGAAGUCUCAGAAUUACCGAAACAAAUAUUUGCAGCCAUGCUAGCAGGGCUCCUGAUAAACAGGCAUGUUUGUCUUUAUUGUUUUGGAAGUAUGAUGAAUUCUGAGAUGUCAAGAGAAAAUGUCCCCAGACUCAAUUUCACAUCCCAACCAGUGUCCUGUCCCUGGUGCCCAAGAUGUGUGUUGCGGAGCAGAUGGUUGUGUCGUGGGGAGACAAGAUUGAGAUGAAAAUGCAUAACCCCCUUGCAUGGGCAGCUCUGAAAAGCCUCCAGCAGCUCUUGCAGGGGAAAUGCUGGGAUGGGAGGUUAGUUAGGCCACAGGAGGAACAACUGAGGCCAAAGCUUUAUGUGUUUAGUGGUUAGACAUCUUGUUGUGGAGGCUAUUGAUGAAUUGGAUAUCUGUGAUCUGAUUUUUAGCACCUAGCAUGUAUUUGAUAUUUCAUAUAGGUCUUUGAUUAUUAAAUUGUAAAUAGUUUUAGAUCUUUCCAGAAUUUUCCAGAAUUUCACCAACUCCAUUCUUUUCGAAAGUGGGGACAUCAAUCAACUAAAAUAUUCUUUGGCCAAUCACUGUGCCCAUUCGAUGUUCAGAUCCAAAGCCAAUAAAAUCUUUCAAGAAUACCCUAGAUAAUACCUGUUGAGGAUUAUUGUCAGGCUGGCUUAUUUGAGUCUCCCUCUUUCACCCUAAGACGUCUAAAAUAGAUGAUGGGGACUAUCGCAACAGAAUUUUACCAAUGAAAUUAUUUACCAAGGAGCAACACUAGGGAAGUGAUUAAUGGGUACACUGGAAAACUUAUUUUCCCCACGUCAUUGCCAAAACUCCUAAUCUUUUGCAUGUCUUAUCUGACUUUCCAUGCCAGAAUAUAUGUUGAAUAUACUUGUAUCUCAUAUUGCCAUGCUUAUCCCUUGGAGAUGGCUUUUCAAUUAUUUUUCCAUGUGUCUCCCAUCCAUGGACAAUGUGGCAAACAAUGAAGUGACCCUCCAUGAUCCCCAGCUCCUGUUCACAUCCUGUACAGUCUCUUCCCUUGAGUGUGGGCAGGACCUGUGACUUGCCUCUAACCAACAGAAUAUGGCAAAAGGAUGAGCUGUCACUUACAGGAUUACAUUGCAUUUUAUGAGACUCCCUCUUGUUAGCAGAUUUAACUAGAAACUCUCCUUGCUGGCUUGAUGGAAUAAGUGGCCGUGUUGGAAAAGCCCACAAGGGACUCUAUGAAUGAUGAGGGCUUCUAGUUACUGAGGGCAGCCUCAAACUAUUAGCCAACAAGAAUCUGGGGCCCUCAGUCCAAAAACACAAGGGAAAAUGAUUCUACCAUCAACCAGAACAAGCUUGGAGGCAGAAUCUUCCCCAGUUAAGCUUCCAGAUGAGAUCUCAGCCUGACAGAUACCUCAACUGCACCUUAUGAGACUGACAGAAGAGAACCCAGCUGAGCAGACACUAAAGCCACUGAAUUUAAGAUAAUUUGUUGUGCAAUAACAGAAAAGAUACAUACCACUCAGGAGUUCCUGGUCACGUGCAUUGUAUGAAGGCCUCAGUGUUGUUAUUCUGAAAUCCUCCUGUGUGUCAUCUGAAACUUACUCUCUGUGGGCUCUUGAAAAUGAAAACUAGGUAACUUGCUAGAGGAAAACAACAAAUACUGCUGGAUUUGAGGUUUAUAGUUGUUAAUGCCUGUGUCUAUAGGCUGCCAUGUCCUUUUAGAAUUCCAGGUCUGAAUGCCUGUGAAUGCAUCUUUACUUGGUAGUUCCACAUCAAAUGAAAAAGAUCCCAAACAGAACUUCUCAUCAUUCAGAUCUGCUGCUGCUUCAUCACUUUAAGCUUUAGGAAAUGAUACCCCUCCUCUCUGAACCUGCAUCCCCAUGUCUCCCCGACUUCCCACAGCCAACUGUUCCCUGGGCCCUUGCCCAGAAAAAAAAAUGGUUCUGGGGGAUUCCUGUCCUUAUGUCUAGAGUAGAAAAACACCACAAAGUUCCCAUGAGUUGGGGCCUUUGUAAAUUGUCUCUCUGGGUUUCUAUGGGGUCUUUGUUUUUUUCCCAAGGACCAAAGGCACUCUUUCAUCUGAGAGAUAAGAAAGUCCCAAGCCUCAGACCAGAAUAACAGACAAGAAAAAAUCACAAAGGCACUGGGUCCUGGAAGCGCCCCCAAGUCUCUCAGGUUUGCUCUAAACACAAGAGAAAGGAGGUGGACUUCUGCUAUGGACCCAGGUCUCCCUGCCUUGCCUUUCCAGUCUCUUAAAACUGCACUAUUAAGGAUUCAGAGAAACCAUAUACAAACACCCUCCUAUAUUAAAUGACAUUGUGUUAGCAUCCAGAUAAAGCUAGCCAAGGUUUAUUGACUAAGGAAUGUCUUCACAUCCUUACUGAACUUCAGCAUAGGCAAGACUGCCCUUGAUAAAUCAUAGGGCAAAAUAUUUCUCAGUAUCUGCAUUAUUGGCCAAAAUUAAAAGUCAUAAGAGUUGCAUUUUUCAAGUAAGCAUAAUGCAAAGGAAGUGGUGUCUGUUCAGAUGACAAAGCAGAAGUGUAGGAGCAGAGACUUGUACAGAGUCUCUGAAAAAGUGUUAAAGCUCACUAAGAAAUGUCAUCUGGGAAAAGAGGAGAAACUAGCCCCACAUACAAAAAUUAAAGGGAUAGGGCAAAAGACAAACCAUGAAGUCAGUGCAUAAUAUAAUGGCUGUAUCAUGCUUUACAAUGCAGUGCUCAGAUAAGUAAGUAAAGAUUAAAAUGAAAGAAAUAUAAGGAUACGAAAUGUAAGAUGGGGCCAGAAAUAAGGUCUUUACUCAACUUGUGUGCCAUAAAUUCUACUAUAUUUGGCAGAAAUAUAAGGCAUAUUUGGUCCUAAGUUUUCUAGCCGCCAAUGAUGAAGGAAAGAGACUCAAUUGCAUGAAUUGCACUGCCCCCAAACCAACAAAAGCAAAAGUUACUCAGAAGAACCAACGAAGUUCUGCUUUUGAGUCCAGAGACAAAAGUUCUUCAUGAAGGCAAGUGAGAAGAAGACAGGGUGGGUGCAGUGGCUCACACCUCUAAUCCCAGCACUUUGGGAGGCCGAGGUGGGCAGAUCACCUGAGGUCAGGAG